rnacentral:misc_RNA from 1 species
GAUGAAGAACGCAGUGAAAUGCGAUAAGUAGUGUGAAUUGCAGAAUUCCGUGAAUCAUCGAAUCUUUGAACGCACAUUGCGCCUUCUGGUAUUCCGGAAGGCAUGCCUGUUCGAGAGUCAUUAACAACCGUUUCGAUCCCUUUCUUUCAGAAAUUACAAAGAGGAAAAGGGUUUGGUUAUGGUGGAGGAGGUAAAGGGAGCGUUUAGCCUGUAAAAAAAGAGGCUGUGUUCCGCCUCCCCCCCAAAAUUGUACAGGCGGUCGUGUGCGCCCACGCAUCGAGGUGUUGUAAAAGCUGCCACGGCACUUUUCACCUGUGCAGUGCGAGAUUGGCCAGCCGGUUUAAAAACCCCUCCAAACAAUCAAAGGUUGACCUCGGAUCAGGUAGGGAUACCCGCUGAACUUAAGCAUAUCAAUAAGCGGAGGA